UGUGAAGCUGAAUAGCAUUAAAAUUAUAUCGGGGGGCCAGAUAAAACUGCCUCAAGGGUCGCAAACGGCCCUAGAGACAUAGGUUCCCCACCCCUGGCCUACAUUGUCAAUAUGACUUGUGCUACUUUAUAGAUAAGUAAUCAAUGCUGUGCAUUGCUAUGUUUUGAUUUAUUUUCUUACAUCCUACAGAUCCUGGCAGGGAGACGGUAGUGUCCUGCAGAAUGGUGAUGGGCCAAUCUUACAAGAGACCACAGAAAACUGAUAUAGUGAACUAUAGAAACAACAGUGCCUGCUGCAGUAUAAUGAGGACACCCUGAGCAGAGAGCUCCAAUAGACCCAGGUCCAGUGUCUUGGCAGGGUGAAAUGGCACUGAUAUGGUGUCCUGCAGGAUGCUGUGUCCUGCAAUCCUGUGUGCUGUGCUACAGACGCGUGUGGAGGUCAACCCAAAAUGGGCACAGUCUCACCACAGAAGAGUGAAAGAGGCUCCCAGAAGUGAGACUGAGUGCCUGUUGCAGUAUGACGAGGACGCAGUGACCAGAGACCUUCAGUAGACCCUGGCUGAAGAACAUGAAAUCAACUGCAAUGUUUAUAAUGUUGUACAUACCUGUAUAGUCUGUAUUAAAAGGCAGUACCUGUAGUAUUUUUCCUCUUACUUUCAUAUUUACCACAUAUUUACUAUGAAUUGACAACUUUUACUAAAAUCCAUUUUUGUAUGUGCCCUGACUAAAACUAUCCUUAAACCUAACCUGUCAGAGAUGUAACCACAACCUGCUCUUAGCAAUGUGGCAACAGUCUACUUGGAUGCAGCGGGGAACAUAGAACCCUUUUUUGAAAAAGCAUUGUAUGUUUAUGAGUUUUAUGAAUUGUGCCCUUCCCAAACAUCAUGCAUAGGCUAAGCGUAUCUAUGACACGCUGAUUUGAACUCACUAUCGCGUGUGUCCAAUACGCAUUUUCAAGUUAAGUCGUGCUCCACAACGCCCUGUGACAGGUUAGGUUUAGGGAUGGUUUUGGUUUAGGCACAAUUUAGGUAGAAAUUCGCCUAAUCUUGCUGUUCUUGGCCAAAGUAAAGCAGCAGAAACAUUACUUCACUGACAGGUUAGGUUUAGGGGU